rnacentral:rRNA from 1 species
UACGUAGGGUCCGAGCGUUGUCCGGAAUUACUGGGCGUAAAGAGCUCGUAGGUGGUUUGUCGCGUUGUUCGUGAAAACUCACAGCUUAACUGUGGGCGUGCGGGCGAUACGGGCGGACUUGAGUACUGCAGGGGAGACUGGAAUUCCUGGUGUAGCGGUGGAAUGCGCAGAUAUCAGGAGGAACACCGGUGGCGAAGGCGGGUCUCUGGGCAGUAACUGACGCUGAGGAGCGAAAGCGUGGGGAGCGAACAGG